GACGAACGCUGGCGGCGUGCUUAACACAUGCAAGUCGAACGGAAAGGCCCUGCUUUUGUGGGGUGCUCGAGUGGCGAACGGGUGAGUAACACGUGAGUAACCUGCCCUUGACUUUGGGAUAACUUCAGGAAACUGGGGCUAAUACCGGAUAGGAGCUCCUGCUGCAUGGUGGGGGUUGGAAAGUUUCGGCGGUUGGGGAUGGACUCGCGGCUUAUCAGCUUGUUGGUGGGGUAGUGGCUUACCAAGGCUUUGACGGGUAGCCGGCCUGAGAGGGUGACCGGCCACAUUGGGACUGAGAGACGGCCCAGACUCCUACGGGAGGCAGCAGUGGGGAAUAUUGCACAAUGGGCGGAAGCCUGAUGCAGCAACGCCGCGUGCGGGAUGACGGCCUUCGGGUUGUAAACCGCUUUCGCCUGUGACGAAGCGUGAGUGACGGUAAUGGGUAAAGAAGCACCGGCUAACUACGUGCCAGCAGCCGCGGUAA
rnacentral:rRNA from 1 species